AUUGUAGUUCAGGAAUAACCUGUGGAGUACACGAAUAAGUGGUAGUCCAAUUUUACAUAUUCCUCUUUUCCACGCACUCUUAACUAACCCACAACCUACCAAAAUAAAUUUGGCUUUGAUUGUCUUAAUUGCCAACAUGCCCCAACGAAUGAGCUGGACAACGCUCCAUUGGUUUCUUUUGUUAGAAAAACUGCACUGAACACCUCAUGCUUUCUCUACAGGUAAAUCUAAUUCUGAGUCCAAAGCUCUAGGAAUUCAUCAAUAACAAACUUCUCAUACAUAGCUCUAGGAAUCCAUCAAUAACAAACUUCUCAUAUAUCUCACAAUGCACAUACAAAAUCCCAGCUACCGAAAACUCACCAAAAACAUCAUUAAACUUCAAAUCCAUAAACUUCAUCGGAAAAACAAACAAUAAAAUAAAAACAUACCGGCAUCAUCAUCAUCCAUGUCAUUAGUUUCUUCUUCAGAGUGAAAUCGUUUCAGAAUGUCGAGAUUUUUCUGUUUCGUUUCAUCAUGGGCCCCAAUUGCCCCAGCUCCCCACCACAUUCUCGCGCAUAAACAAUUCGGUACACCUGAGACUGCUCAAUCAAAUGAAAUCACAGAACAAUCAAACACAAAAUCACAACAAAAAUAAAUAAAAUAAAAUAAAUCUGUACAAAUUUGCAUACGUACCUUAUAGCAGUGCAGCGGUAGUGUGAGUUUCAUCAGGGAUAUGUGUACUGCAAAAAGUAAAGAUAACAAAUUUAUCAAUCUUAAAUUCUUUACCUUGGCUUUUGAUUGAAUAAAAUCAUCUAAAUUAAGAGGCCUUAACUCCUCCAAUUGGAUUUAUCUCUUAUUGGUAUGGGGGUAUGAACUGUGAUAGGAAGUGUAAAUUUAAAAUGGUGAUUGAAUCACCCAUUUAUUAAUGGAACCUAGAGAAGAAAAAAAAAAACGCAGAGAGAGAGAAUGGUCCAUAUGGCUACAGAGAAGCUGGGAGAAAAUUAACCCAAAAAAAAAAAAUAAAAAAAAAAUAUAUAUAUAUAUAUAUAAUUUUUUUUUUAAUUUAACCCUAAUUCCAACAAAAUGGUGAUAGCAAACUGAAGAAUUUUAAACUCACAAAAUUAAAAUUUUUACAAAGUAGGCCGAGAUUACCUAUAAAUGGUGAUUGCAUUGUAUUUUUGCCCCUCGGAGCAUUGUAUUGUAUCAGAAAAAACUUCAAGAAGCAAUCCAUCUUAAGCAACGCAACCAAAAAUCAAGUUUAUGCAAUAAAAUUUAAUUUUAUUGUUAUGGACAAAUACUGUAAGUCUAUAACUGAGGCUGCAUACCAAUGAGUUUUGCAAGUCCCAAAUAAUCUGCAAGGAACAAAGAAAAUGAAAAGAGUGAAAAAUUAGAACUGGCUUGGGGAUUUU
rnacentral:lncRNA from 1 species